UUCUUGUUCCCAUGGCCACUGCAGAAGCUAGACACAGAGGCCGGUUUGGGCUGCCAGUCACAAGAGAAGGCGUACUUGGCAGGAGGCGGGGGCGUUCUGCCUGCUGGAGGGUAGGACUGGUGGGAGGUUCUUGGAAGCCUGGGAGCGGUGACAGGGGCCGCUGAUAGUCUGCGGCAAGAGGUGUCUCAGGAAGCCGCCCAACCUUCCGGCUGAGCCAAGUCGUCCACAGUGGUUUCCCGGCGGUCAGGGUGGUUUAUGUCAUGAUUCCUUGGUUCCAAGCGGCGUUGCUCCUUUGUGGCCGGUGGCAAGGAGGACAGUGCUGGGAGCUCGAGGCAGUGCCUUCGGCAGCUGUGCUCUUCAAAGCCAGUGGCGCUUCUGGUCCUUGGCAAAAGGAGCUGCACUUCCUUCUCCCAGAAGUGGUGUUGCAGAAGUUUGGCAGUGCAAGUGAGGACUUUUUCCUGCAAAUGCAAGGCAAUCUUGGCAGCAGCAGCUGAAAUUGUUUCUCUGAGUCGGUUCAGCCUCGGUUGCUCUCAGCAUUGGGAAAAGAGCACCAGCACUGCACAGCAAGAGAGGUUUCCACUCUGUCUCUUUCUCUCUCUUUCUUUGUUUCUUUCUCUCUCUCUCUCUCUCUUUCUUUCUCUCUCUCUCUCUCUCUUUCUCUCUUUCUUUCCUUCCUUGUUUCCUUGUCUCUUUCCUUCCCUGUUUCCUUCUUACAUUGUUUCCUUGUUUUCUCCCUUCCUUUGUUCCUUCUUCCUAUGUUUCUACAAAGACCUUACACUUCUCAGAGAAAAUCAUUGUGGUUUCUUCUUCUUGUUGUUUUUUGGUACGUUGGUUUUUCAAUUGCCAGGGCCACGUGGAUUCCUGGCUUAUCGUCUCUUUUAACAGUUUUUCCUCUUUGUUGCUGUGUAACCUGAGCCCCUGAAGCAGACUCUGGACUCACCAUUACCGACAACAACCUGCCUGCUCACACCAUGUGCCCCAAAAUAGCCUGGCCUGAGCUGGUGACAUCCACAACAUGACGGUGCUGAGACUAGCCCAUUGCAGCACCUGCUAGCCUCCAUGCAGGCAGACAGGUCCUCUGGCUCCCAAAGGGUUGGCCCAGUUCCAGGAGCAAUUUCAGGGACAGAGUCCAAAAGUCCACUCUUAUUCACAAAAUGUAUUAUGUCCCUUAUGCUCUAUUAUUUAGCAUAAUAAAGUUUGAUUUCAUAGGUCAAAAAACAGUAUGAAGAAAUGAAACUGGUAUAUGUUUGUCUCAACUGAGUAAGCAAAGGAUACACUCAUAAGCUGUAGCUUUUGGAAGCUAGUCUAAAGAAGCAAAGUAACAAAAAAUGCCAAAGUAACAAAAACUGGCCAAGAUGCCAGGUCUUGGCCUAUGCCUCCAAAACCGCAAUCAAUACCACUACAACCCUUUGACAGCCAUGGUCUAAAGCCAUUCCAGUCCCAGUGAAAGGCCCCACUGCCAGGCCAGGCAUCCAACAGUGACAGCAUCUGUUGCUCCUAUAUGCAAGAUGAAACAAUGGAUGAGAAAGUCAGGUCAUUUAGAAAGCAGAGGAACUCCUACUAAGAAAGGGGAGAAGAGCGCAAGGCAGGCUACUCUGAAGUGGCUGGCCCAUCAGACAAGCAGGAAGAUGAAGAUAUGAAGGCAUUAAUGACUCCUGAAGCAUCGCCUGGUGCACCUCUGUACUGACAUUGGUGUCUGCAGGGAGGUUUCCCACUCUUUGCUCUCCCAGCUGCUGUUGUGCAGCAGUUUUUUCUAGUUUUUUUCCCUUUUUUUGGAUGUGCUCUCACAGAGGAACAAACUGCAUUGCUCAUGGUUUGCCUCUGGGCAGCAGUGGACCCCUUUGGAAGCGGCUGACACUGGCCCUUAUUCUCACAGUGGCUACCACUGUAGCCCCUCUACUACCAGAAUCUUGCCACAUAAACCCAAUACACUGGGGCAGCUAGCCUGUAGAGUACCAGGGCUUGAAUUAACUAAUGAAACCCUAAAUAUAAUGGGGUGUAGAGGGGGCUGGGAUAACAGUACUACUCUUGGGUGACACCAAGCUGAGUCUAGGGACAGAAUGCUCACUGGGCAAUUAUUGUAUGUACCCGAGGCAGGGACUAUAUUGUUGGGAAAGGAUUUGAUAAUGAAAGUGGGCAUUCAAAUAGUGACUUGUUAGACUGGAAUAACGGUGUUAUUAAUGGGUUGCCUUUGAGAGGAAAGACCCUGAAAUGGGGCAGAAGCAACAAUACAGAUGGACAAUUUUAUCUCAUGGAUUUACAGGGCCACUGAAUUUAUUUGGGCAAGUUCUAGAACAAAUUUUGGAGUAAUUCCAGCCUCCUGAGGAGGUGUUACUCUUACAAUAUGUGGAUGAUUUUUUAUUGUCAGAACAGAAGAAAACAGCUGUGAAAGAAGCUACUAACAAACUAUUCAACUUUAUGGGAAAACAGGGCUUGAAAGUAUUGGAAAAUAAAUUGCAAUACGUGGAAUGAAAAGUCAAGUAUUUAGGGCAUCUAGUGUUUGAGUGAGAACAUAGAAUAAAUCCAGAGAGGAUUCUGGAAUUGUUGAGCUACCCCUACCGAAAGCUAAAAAGAAUGAAAAAGUAUGAAGAGAAAGAAGUUUUUAAGGAAUUAAGAGUCACGAAGUCCAAUGGAAAACAGUUACUCCCUGGUGAGAGAAAUGCUGAAUAAAGUGAUAGCGAGGCAAAUAUUAACUGUUUUGCAUCAGUAAGGUCAUUGGGAAAUUCAAGCAAUGCGUGAUGCUGUGCUAUGGAAAUAUGUAUGUGUAGGAUUAUAUGUACUCUGGCUGAACAAGUAUGCAGGAGCUGUGUAGUAUGUCAAAAGCUAAAUAGGAAAAUUAUUCACAGUCAGCCCAAAUGGGGGUGAGAACCAGGAAUUCAAUGCUUCCAAAAGGUGUAGGUAGAUUUUACAGAACUCGUAAGAGUAGGCAGAUUUAAAUACUUAUUAGUCUUGGUUGAUCAUUUGUCAGGGUUAUUGGAAGCUUUCCCUUCAGUAUCUGCUACUGCGAACAUAGUAACUAAAGUAAUUCUAGAACAAAUAAUUCCCAGGUAUGGAAUUAUUGAGAAUACUGCCUUUGAUCAAGGAAAUCACUUUAUAUCAGAAAUAUUGCAAGGGCUAACGUGGACUCUAGGAAUUAAGUGGAAAUUUCACACUCCUUGGCAUUCUUCCUCUUCUGGAAGGAUGGAGCAGAUCAGACAGUAAAGAAGCAAUUGACUAAACUCUGGAAACUCAGCUUCCCCAAACAAAGUGCUUACCUUUGGCACCUCUCUGAAUUCAAACUGCACCAAGAAAAGAUGUGGGAAUUUCACCACAUGAAAUAUUAUUUGGAUUGCUGUACCUGGACAAAGGGAAUGAAUUACCUCAAUUUGAGACAAAAGAUGCUUUUCUUAAGAGCUAUAUACUUGGGCUGUUGUCCUCUUUAUCAUCUCUCAGGACCUACAGACUGUUAGCUCAAACUCCACCCUUGGAAGCCCUGAUCCAUCUAAUCCAAGCAGAUUGGAACAUGGAGAGAAUGAAAGCUGCAACCUGAGUGGGAUGGACUGUUCCAAGUGCUCCUGAGUACUGAGAUGGCAGGAAGAACAGCUGAGAAAGGGAGGACUCACACCUGGGUAAAAGCAUCAGUUAACCCCGAUACCUGAGACACUGUGUUAACAAAGACUUUUAAGGUUAAAACUGUCAAAACUAUUUAUUGUAAACCUUUAACUUCUCCUUAGAAGAAUUCAUAAUGAAUUAAUGAGUAAAAUGGAUUGAAUUACAGAGAAUUAGAGUGAUUUCAGGAAACACUCCCUGGAAGAGGGAGAAAAAGAAGCAGAGGGGUGGGGGAUGGAAAUAGAUAAGGAAAAACAGGAUGAGCAGUACAAAAUCAGUAAGAACAAAAAUCACAGGCCCUCCAGUCAUGAGAGAAGAAGGGAAAAAAAAAAAAAAAAAAAAAAAAAAAAGGAAAAAGAGGAAUCAAUGGUUGAUCAAAUUAAUCUGAUUAAACUGUACAUAUAUGGUAUAAAAGUGUGUUGAGUAGGUUGUGAACCUGUAGUACUCAGCCAAUGAGGAAACAAGGGAGAAAUCAGGUGUCAGGUAAUAGGGAGUAUAGUGUUAUGAUAAACUUUUACUGUGCACUCCUGCUUGUGGGACACCUGCCAUUGCAAUCACGAAUAAAAUAGUUUCACAGAA